ensembl:lncRNA
CUUCUGGGCUUCUCGUCUUUCCUUCUCAUGUAUAAUGGGAAAGCAUGUUAGGCCCAGAGCUCAGACGUGGGAGUCUGUGAGAGCGGCAGCUCCGAGACGGUAAGCGGAGGUGACAAGUUCCUGGCAAUAUUAAACAUUAACGCUGAAUAUUUUGUUGGUAUUUAACUCCAGGACGUUUCAUGUUCCCGAGCAGAGGCAGAACAUCCCCUCACCCUCUCCGCUUUGUUCUUCCCUCCUGUGCUCUGUACGUGCAGCAGGCAGGGAUGUGAGGUGCCAGCUCCUGCAAGGCUGAGAUGGCUUCAUACACACAGAGAGAGCGGGGUAUGAAGGUUUUGUUCUGGAAGCGAGUGAGGCUCAGGGAAGAAAAAGCACAAAAACUCUCACCCUUUGAGCAAAAGAGAAGAGAGAUUUCUGGGACUUCCCACAUGAAUAUUUGAUGAGCUACCUGAGAAAGAGCUUAAGGGAUGUAAGGCUGAAGAUGGGAGGCAGUGUGGUGCGGUGGACUAACUGCACCCCAGCUCUGGGCUAGCUGAAAGCUGCAUGCCUCCACCCACCCAUGCAGACCAGGCUCAAACUGGAACAAGUAACCAGCAAGAGGCUCCUUGCCCUCCAGAAGCAAAUGAAAACUGCCCGCUUGCUCUGCUACACAUCUGCCAGCUGCAGCAAGACACAGCAUCAGGAUUAAUGUGGGUUCCUGAUGUUCUUUUGUGGCUGUGGAACAACAGUUACCUGUUCAUACACUGUACCUUCACAUAUAUGCACAGAAAUACACGUGUGUAUAUUCAGCUACGUAAAUAGUGUCCCAUACAGAAAUGCUCUUGUGUAACAGUGAGGAGCAUUGCAGAUGCAAAUGCUUCAAGCUCAUUUGCAUGAGGUAAUAGAUUGUAUACACUCAUCAAAUACAUAAUACUGCUGAGCUUGGUCAUGUUUAUGAUUUCAAGGGGUGCAAAAGGGAAGAAUCAUGGUAAAUCUGAAGAUAUGUCCUUCUAGCUCUAUCAUAGAAGAGGCAGAAGUGGCUCCAUAGCAGGGUUUAGUCUCUGAAGAAUUUGGCUCUAAGUCCCACUUGGAGCCAAAAUGUGGCAGAUUGUUUUGUUUAUUUAUUUUCAGGAUAGAAAGUUCUCUUUGAGUUUUCAGGGACCUUUUAGAGGGUGUUUUGGUCAUUGGCAAGGAGAAAAAGAAACAAGUGGUAAAAAACAGUCAUCCUUUCACUCCCUCACUCUGACGUAAAACUGCGGUGCAUCAGAACUCUUGUCUGGUGUACAGCUGUGCACCAGGGAUCUUUAUGCAGAGUUAUUCUCCCUGGGGAAGAUGUGGGGUUGGGGCUUAGGUCUGCAUUAAAGUGCAGUCACAGGGAAUGAGAUAUGAACAUUGCAUCAUCGUGCAGUUUGGAAUUUAUGAAGAUGAGGGAAAAGAAGGCAGCAAAUGCUUCAUGUGAAGAUGAAGGCAUACUAAAUGUUUUAAUGACUGCAAUGUAUUUGUCUAUGUCUAUGAAAAGGUGUAGUGUGCAGGUGCUACCAGACAUUGCUAGUAAAAUUGCACAGUUUGUUCUUUUUUCUUCUUUUUUUUCUGUCGAAAGGAAUGAGUUUUUCCACUUC